UCUCCGUAGGUGAACCUGCGGAGGGAUCAUUACUGAGUGAGGGUCUCCGGGCCCGACCUCCAACCCUUUUGUGAUCCACCUCGUUGCUUCGGGGGCGACCCUGCCUUCGUGCGAGGCGCCCCCGGAGGCUCAUCAAACACUGCAUCUUUGCGUCGGAGUUAAAGUAAAUUAAACAAAACUUUCAACAACGGAUCUCUUGGUUCCAGCAUCGAUGAAGAACGCAGC
rnacentral:misc_RNA from 1 species